rnacentral:rRNA from 1 species
CAGCAGCCGCGGUAAUACGAAGGGUGCAAGCGUUGUCCGGAUUUAUUGGGUUUAAAGGGUGCGUAGGUGGCUUUAUAAGUCAGUGGUGAAAUACAGCCGCUCAACGGUUGAGGUGCCAUUGAUACUGUAGAGCUUGAAACAAGUGGAGGCUGCCGGAAUGGAUGGUGUAGCGGUGAAAUGCAUAGAUAUCAUCCAGAACACCGAUUGCGAAGGCAGGUGGCUACGUUUGAUUUGACACUGAGACACGAAAGCAUGGGGAGCAAACAGGAUUAGAUACCCGGGUAGUCCCUGUCUCUUAUAC